CUCGAUAGAUUUCUAUCACCCAAGACAGCCGGUGCCAGAAAUGGCUUAAUAUCCUGCUCAGGUGAAGUGAAAAGAACACUUUUUCGCACAGAGAGGUAAUCUCUGCCUGAGCAACAUCGGCAGAGAUUAUUUUUUUUGAAA
rfam:Anaerolinea thermophila MPI_scaffold_3767, whole genome shotgun sequence.